AGAGAUGCUCCCUGUGGCUUCUAAAAAUCAAAAUGCUUCUUCAUCUGGAGAGCAACCUGAGAAAGAACACGACUAUGUUAAUGCCGCAGUAUGGACCAUGAACAAAAUAUCAGCCACUUCAAAUAAGAAGUGUUGCUCCUUUAUUCAGCCUUUUCUACCA